CCAUCUGUGAGUUUUAUGCUAGGGACACAAAGAAACAUACAUGUCCUAUCCUGUUGGAUGCUUAUAGGGGGUUGAAGGGAGUUUCCAAGGAUGAAGAAGCCCUCUGUUUGGAUGCCACGUGUUAUGGAAAUGUUGCUAGGUUCAUCAAUCAUAGGUGCUUAGAUGCAAACUUGAUUGAGAUUCCGGUUGAAGUGGAGACUCCAUAUCUUCAUUACUAUCACCUAGCCUUCUUCACAGCAAGAGAAGUUGAUGCGCUUGAAGAGUUAACAUGGG